GGCCUCGUAGCUUAGUUGGCUAGAGCGUUGGCUGUACUAAAGCCUUCCCCUUGCUGGCGUGGGUUCGAGUCGCACAGAGGCCG
rfam:Schistocephalus solidus strain NST_G2 genome assembly, scaffold: SSLN_scaffold0013186